GUGUCAGCAGCCGCGGUAAUACGAAGGAUGCAAGCGUUAUCCGGAUUUAUUGGGUUUAAAGGGAGCGUAGGCGGUCUUAUAAGUCAGUGGUGAAAUCCUAUCGCUUAACGAUAGACGUGCCAUUGAUACUGUAGGACUUGAGUACAGAUGCCGUUGGCGGAAUGUGUCAUGUAGCGGUGAAAUGCAUAGAUAUGACACAGAACACCGAUUGCGAAGGCAGCUGACGAAACUGUAACUGACGCUGAGGCUCGAAAGCGUGGGGAUCAAACAGGAUUAGAUACCCUGGUAGUCC
rnacentral:rRNA from 1 species